rnacentral:lncRNA from 1 species
CGACAAAGCUACGCAGAUCAGAGACAGAGGCAUCCUGAGAAAGAGAGAGAGACUGUGGGAGAGAGAGAUCGAGAGGGAGGAGAUUGAGAAUCGACAGAUCUGAAAGGGAUGACUAAGGAGAGGAGAGUCUUCGAAAAGGUGUGAGAAAAUAGGAAAGGAAUGGGAAAAUGUUACAAACAGGUCGGUCCGGGUACCCCUUUUUCUAUACUUCUGGACUCAGCCCAUCCCGCACCAUUUCUCUUUUUAAAAAUUAGGAACCGGCCUGUACCCACCGCAACCCGCUAUUCCUAUACCCGUUUGCCCACCCCUACAUAUAGUUCAAAUUAUGCUUUAUAAGAUGUUUUUGGCAUUGAGUGGCAGUAUUUUUUUUUUUUUUCUUUCUUGGUAGGACAUGAUUGUUGAGUAGCAAUGUAGUGCAGUGCAUUUAAAUUUUCAAAAUAAUGGAGAGGAGCAAACAGUUGAAAGAAAGUAGAGACUAAAAGUAGGUGAUGGUAAUGAGUUGUACUGCCUAAUCAUAUGCCGGGUAAUUGCAGGUACCUAUAAUUAAUCAUAACUUUCACUUCUGUUUAUAUAUAUUUUUGGCUUAUUAGUGGAAAUGUCUCUUGAAACUGCUAUUGAAUCUCAGUUAUCUCCUAAAAUUGGUUUUGUCUCACUUUGCCCUUAGAAACUAACAUUUUCAACUUUUUAUCUCACUUUACCCACUUCUGUUAAUGAACUGUUAAAUGUAAGGGUAUUUUAGACAUUUCAAUUUUUACAUAUUUAUUUACCUCUAUCCUACACAUUAAACAAGUCUCAAUUAUUUUUGAUAACUCUAAUUCAAACGCAUAAAUUUUGGGCAUUUUUACAAAUAAAUUAUUCAAUCAAUAGAAAAUUUCCAAGCAACAAAAUCAUUGUAUCAACCAAAAUAAGGGUUACAUUUGUUCAUAGAGCAUCACUUGCAAGACAUCCAUGUAUUUGAUCGAAACUUAGCAAUUGAAAAAUAUUCAUUACAACAAAAUCAUUAUACCAUUAAGCUAUCCUAUCCAAAAUACUUCCCAAACCAAAAAAAUUAUUUAAAGAAAAUGUGCACCGUUUGAAACAAAAAAAUUCACAUUGUUGAGCAUUGAUUCCACUAGACAUGAGCUUGUUCAGGAGCAAAGUGAGACAAAAACUGAGACUCAAUGGCAGUUUUAGGGGGCAUUUCGACUAAUAAGCCUAAUUUUUAAAACAAACGAUGGUAUCUUCAAAUUCGCCUUUGUCGAGAAUCGAACCUAAGACCUCUUACUUACAAGUGAAAAAAAAUACUAUUAGACCGCAAUACUAAGUGACCAUAUCUGUUUAUAUAUUUAAGAUUGUAAUUUGCAUAAUCCUUUAGAAAGAACACAUAUCAUGAUUAGAAUAGAACUGUUUUGAAUGAUUUUGUUGACCUCACAUGUUUCGUCCUUUUUAUAUUAAUUUAUUUAAUUUAAUUGAUGUGGGAUGUUUUGGCCUCACUUUCGGACCUGGAUCAUUUCCAAGGCAAACCCUCGAGAUGCUGCUGAGCGAUAAACAUGGGCCGUUGGAUUUCGAUCCA